rnacentral:misc_RNA from 1 species
GAUGAAGAACGUAGUAAAAUGCGAUAAGUAAUGCGAAUUGCAGAAUUUCCGUGAGUCAUCGAAUCUUUGAACGCACAUUGCGCCCAUUGGUAUUCCGAUGGGCAUGCCUGUUCGAGCGUCAUUUCAACCAUCAAGCCCCCAGGGGCUUGUGCUGGGGCCCUGCGGCUGCCCGCAGGCCCUGAAAACCAGUGGCGGGCUCGCUAGUCACACCGAGCGCAGUAGCACAUCUCGCUCAGGGCGUGCGGCGGGCUCCUGCCGUGAAACCCCCCACUGUAACCCCAAAGGUUGACCUCGGAUCAGGUAGGAAUACCCGCUGAACUUAAGCAUAUCAAUAAGCGGAGGA